rnacentral:rRNA from 1 species
GGGGGCAACCCUGACGGAGCGACGCCGCGUGAGUGAAGAAGGUUUUCGGAUCGUAAAGCUCUGUUGUAAGUCAAGAGCGAGUGUGAGAGUGGAAAGUUCACACUGUGACGGUAGCUUACCAGAAAGGGACGGCCAACUACGUGCCAGCAGCCGCGGUAAUACGUAGGUCCCGAGCGUUGUCCGGAUUUAUUGGGCGUAAAGCGAGCGCAGGCGGUUUGAUAAGUCUGAAGUUAAAGGCUGUGGCUCAACCAUAGUUCGCUUUGGAAACUGUCAAACUUGAGUGCAGAAGGGGAGAGUGGAAUUCCAUGUGUAGCGGUGAAAUGCGUAGAUAUAUGGAGGAACACC